GUGAGGAUGAGUAAGGUUAGAGGUAGAGGAGGACAGUAUUACAUGUGAGAUGAGUAAGGUUAGAGGUAGAGGAGGACAGUAUUACAUGGUGAGGAUGAGUAGGGUUAGAGGAGGACAGUAUUACAUGGUGAGGAUGAGUAGGGUUAGAGGUAGAGGAGGACAGUAUUACAUGGUGAGGAUGAGUAGGGUUAGAGGUAGAGGAGGAAGUAUUACAUGGUGAGGAUGAGUAGGGUUAGAGAUAGAGGACAGUAUUACAUGGUGAGGAUGAGUAGGGUUAGAGGAGGACAGUAUUACAUGGUGAGGAUGAGUAGGGUUAGAGGAGGACAGUAUUACAUGGUGAGGAUGAGUAGGGUUAGAGGAAGGACAGUAUUACAUGGUGAGAUGAGUAGGGUUAGAGGUAGAGGAGGACAGUAUUACAUGGUGA